rnacentral:misc_RNA from 1 species
GAUGAAGAACGUAGCGAAAUGCGAUACGUAAUGUGAAUUGCAAAUUCAGUGAAUCAUCGAGUCUUUGAACGCACAUUGCGCCCGUUAGUAUUCUGACGGGCAUGCCUGUCCGAGCGUCAUUUCAACCCUCAAGCACGGCUUGGUGUUGGCGGAUUGCGUGCCCUAGCGGCGCUGCACCCGCCCAAAUACAGUGGCGGUCCCGCUGCGGCUCCCUUUGCGUAGUAACUCACCUCGCACUGGACCGGGCGGCGGCUCGCCGUAAAACCCCAACUCACGAAAUGUUGACCUCGGAUCAGGUAGGAAUACCCGCUGAACUUAAGCAUAUCAAUAAGCGGAGGA